AUGGGGGAAAAUGGGGAGAUAUUGGUCAAAGUAUCCAAAUUUUCAGUUAUAAGAUGAAUGAGUUCUGAGGAUCUAAUAUACAGCAUGGUAACUACAGGUAAUAUUAUUGUAUUGAAUACUUCAAAUUUGCUGAGAGGAUAGACCUUAAAUGUUAUCACCAUAC